rnacentral:rRNA from 1 species
UACAGAGGGGGCAAGCGUUGUUCGGAAUUACUGGGCGUAAAGGGCGCGUAGGCGGCCUUCUAAGUCGAACGUGAAAUCCCCGGGCUCAACCCGGGAACUGCGUCCGAUACUGGAAGGCUUGAAUCCGGGAGAGGGAUGCGGAAUUCCAGGUGUAGCGGUGAAAUGCGUAGAUAUCUGGAGGAACACCGGUGGCGAAGGCGGCAUCCUGGACCGGCAUUGACGCUGAGGCGCGAAAGCCAGGGGAGCAACGGG